AAACAUUGGUAACACAACACAUUUGUUACCCGCCUGGGAACUACGAGCAUUAGCUUAAAACCCAAAGGACUUGGCGGUGCUUUAGAUCCACCUAGAGGAGCCUGUUCUAGAACCGAUAACCCCCGUUCAACCUCACCUCCCCUUGUUAUCCCCGCCUAUAUACCGCCGUCGUCAGCUUACCCUGUGAAGGUUAAAUAGUAAGCAAAAUUGGCACAACCUAAAACGUCAGGUCGAGGUGUAGCGUAUGGGGAGGGAAGAAAUGGGCUACAUUUCCUACAACAGGAAAUACGAACGAUGCACUGAAACGUGCAUCCGAAGGAGGAUUUAGCAGUAAGAGGGAAGUAGAGCGU
rnacentral:rRNA from 1 species